CAAACGUAGCAUGACUUGCUCUGGGCCAUAGAACGGCGUUCACGUUGCACGCUGCACACUUCACGCGUGAAGCGAGAAAUGAACAUGCACACUUUUUUCUAGGCGUGAAGAUGGAAAUUCCAGUCCAUGCAUGCGGUCACCGCCGCGCCAGCCAAUCAGAACGGGUCUAGGGAGAUAACUCUAUGCUUUCAGGGGAAAACUUCAGAAAAAAUAUAAUUGAAUGGUAUAAUUGAAAAAUAGUUCUUCAUCGGGAUUGUCAAGCAGAUUAUAGAAUGUUCGGUGAAAUUCACCACGGGUUUCUCUCAGAAGGAAGUGUUCUCGGCUCCAAAUUCUGUUCCUUUUUCUCUUCCUCUGUCUCAGUAAAAGCAGAAUGAGGCAAUCGUCGUCAUCCGAAGAGUCCGUAUUGUUGGUUACUCGGUCAAAGUAGAACCGACGCAACACGUGAACAUCCAAGCAUGAAGUUUAAUGGCCCAGGGUCCGGUUCUUCACGUGAACGUGUAGCGUGCAGCGUGAACCUUCUAUGGCCCAGCUGCCUAAGACGCAGAGAUGAUGAUGGACUGUCGCUGAGGAUCAUGGGAAGGCUAAUGGAGCGUGGGGAAUAGAGAAAAUCAAUAAUCAUUGAAUGGAAUACUUGAAUGAUCGGAUGAUACACGGACCAUCUAUGAUAUCAUCAGUUGAAACAUCAUUCAAUGUUUUUAACCUGU